GGUGGUAUAGCUCAGUGGUAGAUUGUUUAGCUAGAAUGCACAAGGCCUUGGGUUCCAUCCCCAGUACCAUGG
rnacentral:tRNA from 1 species